UUAGUUGCUACGAAAGGGCACUCUAAUGGGACUGCCGGUGACAAACCGGAGGAAGGUGGGGAUGACGUCAAGUCCUCAUGGCCCUUAUAGGUGGGGCUACACACGUCAUACAAUGGCUGGUACAGAGGGUUGCCAACCCGCGAGGGGGAGCUAAUCCCAUAAAGCCAGUCGUAGUCCGGAUCGCAGUCUGCAACUCGACUGCGUGAAGUCGGAAUCGCUAGUAAUCGCGGAUCAGAAUGUCGCGGUGAAUACGUUCCCGGGUCUUGCACACACCGCCCGU
rnacentral:rRNA from 1 species